UACGGAGGGUGCAAGCGUUGUCCGGAAUUACUGGGCGUAAAGCAGGUGCAGGCGGUUCGUUGUGUCGGGUGUGAAAUCCCGAGGCUCAACCUCGGAACUGCGCCCGAAACUGGCGGACUUGAGUGCGGGAGGGGAUGGUGGAAUUCCGGGUGUAGAGGUGAAAUUCGUAGAUAUCCGGAAGAAUACCGGUGGCGAAGGCGACCAUCUGGCCCGUUACUGACGCUCAGACCUGAAAGCGUGGGGAGCAAAC
rnacentral:rRNA from 1 species